AUUCUUUCGCAGAGGCAAUAUUGUAGCUUAUGAGGUACAUCCGAGGCGUGAUUACUGCUGGUUGAAAACUUUAAACAAUACUCC
rnacentral:snRNA from 1 species